AGGGUUUGAUCCUGGCUCAGAGUGAACGCUGGCGGCGUGCUUAACACAUGCAAGUCGAACGAUGAAGAAGAGCUUGCUCUUUGGAUUAGUGGCGCACGGGUGAGUAAUAUAUAGAUAACGUGCCUCUUAGUCUGGGAUAGCCAUUGGAAACGAUGAUUAAUACUGGAUACUCCUUCUAACUCUAAUGUUAGUCGGGAAAGUUUUUCGCUAAGAGAUCGGUCUAUAUCCUAUCAGCUUGUUGGUGAGGUAAGAGCUCACCAAGGCAAUGACAGGUAGCGGGUUUGAGAGGAUGAUCCGCCACACUGGUACUGAGACACGGACCAGACUCCUACGGGAGGCAGCAGUGAGGAAUAUUGCACAAUGGGCGAAAGCCUGAUGCAGCAACGCCGCGUGGAGGAUGACGCAUUUCGGUGUGUAAACUCCUUUUAUGAGUCAAGAAAAUGACGGUAGCUCAUGAAUAAGCACCGGCUAACUCCGUGCCAGCAGCCGCGGUAAUACGGAGGGUGCAAGCGUUACUCGGAAUCACUGGGCGUAAAGGACGCGUAGGCUGGCUCGUAAGUCAGAUGUGAAAUCCUAUGGCUUAACCAUAGAACUGCAUUUGAAACUACAAGCCUAGAGUAUGGGAGGGGGAGAUGGAAUUAGUGGUGUAGGGGUAAAAUCCGUAGAUAUCACUAGGAAUACCGAAAGCGAAGGCGAUCUCCUGGAACAUAACUGACGCUGAGGCGUGAAAGCGUGGGGAGCAAACGGGAUUAGAUACCCCGGUAGUCCACGCCCUAAACGAUGAACACUAGUCGUCGGGAUGCUUGUCAUCUCGGUGAUGCACUUAACAGAUUAAGUGUUCCGCCUGGGGAGUACGGUCGCAAGAUUAAAACUCAAAGGAAUAGACGGGGACCCGCACAAGUGGUGGAGCAUGUGGUUUAAUUCGGAGA
rnacentral:rRNA from 1 species